GACGACGCUGGCGGCGUGGAUUAGGCAUGCAAGUCGAACGGUAUCAUCCUUUCGGGGGUGAGGAGAGUGGCGAACUGGUGAGUAACACGUAGGUUAUCUACCCUCAAGACGGGGACAACCCAGGGAAACUUGGGCUAAUACCGGAUGUGAGCAACUUUUAGUUGUUUGAAAGGUGGCGUAAGCUGUCGCUUGGGGAUGAGCCUGCGUCCUAUUAGUUAGUUGGUGAGGUAACGGCUCACCUAGGCAAUGAUAGGUAGGCGGCCUUAACGGGUGGUCGCCCACACUGGGAUUGAGAUACGGCCCAGACUCCUACGGGAGGCAGCAGUCGAGAAUAGUCUACAAUGGUCGGAAGACUGAUAGUGCGACGCCGCGUGAACGAUGAAUCCCUUCGGGGUGUAAAGUUCUUUUAUAUGUGAGCAGUGCUUCUUAUAUUAACAGUAUGGGGAGAGAGAUAUUAGCAUAUGAAUAAGCAACGGCUAACUCCGUG
rnacentral:rRNA from 1 species